GAGGCGGUGGAUCUACUUGGUCUGUGGGGAGAAGAGGCUGUGCAGGCACAGCUCUGGUACAACUGUAGAAACAUAGACAUCUCUGAGUAGUUUGCACGGGAUAUGGGGGAGAAUGGCUACACCAGAGACAUGCAGCAGGUGUACCAGAAGGCAAGGGAGAUUAACAGUCAUUCUGGUGCAGCACCGCAGACAUGCCGCUUCUACAAGGAGCUGCAUGUGAUUCUCAGCAGCGACCCCACCAUGACCUCCAAGAGCAGCAUGGAUGCCUCUGAGGAGCAGGAGUGCCGAGCCAGUGCAGACAACACUGAGGAGGUGGUCUAGGAGGAGAAUGGGAGACAGGGGAGUAGGGAAUCCAUUCUCCCGGAGAACUAGGAGCUCUUUGUAACCCCGGAGCAGUCCAGCCAGUCGCAGAACAGCAUCAUAGCCGAGUGUGAUGCUGGGGAAGGAACCUCUGCUGAAAGUGUGGCCUUCAGCUCUUCUUCCACACCGGUGGAGAGACUCUAUAAGAUAAGAUGAAGGUCAAAAAGAAUGCAUGAGGACAUGUUUAAUGAGAUUAUGAAUGCCUCUGGGACAGCGGACACCAAGCAGAGAGCAUGGAGGAUUUCUCCCUCUGAAAAACUGGACAUGGACAUGGCGAGCAGGAGAGCAGUCCAGGAGAAUGAGCAUGACAUGCAGCAGGAGAUGCUGGGGAUUCUGAAGGAACAAACCGACAUGUUGAGGCAUGUGGCUGAUCUUCAGGAGAAACACCUUGAGGCUAGAAUCCCUCUGCAGCCCCUGCAGAAUGGCAUUCCAACAUUGCCUAUUCCCCCUCUCCCAAACAUUCCAGGAGGCAAGGGGGGAAAAUGUAAUAUCCCU